rnacentral:rRNA from 1 species
AUUGAACGCUGGCGGCAGGCCUAACACAUGCAAGUCGAACGAGUGGCGGACGGGUGAGUAAUGUCUGGGAAACUGCCUGAUGGAGGGGGAUAACUACUGGAAACGGUAGCUAAUACCGCAUACCAUCGGAUGUGCCCAGAUGGGAUUAGCUAGUAGGUGGGGUAAAGGCUCACCUAGGCGACGAUCCCUAGCUGGUCUGAGAGGAGGACCAGACAAACUGGAACUGUGAUACGGUCCAGACUCCUACGGGGUGCAGCAUUGGGGAAUAGUGCAUAAUGGGCUCAAGCCUGAUGCAGCCAUGACGCGUGGAUGAAGAAGGCCUUCGGGUUGUAAAGUACUUUCAGCGUGGAGGCGUUACCCGCAGAAGAAGCACCGGCUAACUCCGUGCCAGCAGCCGCGGUAAUAC